GGGUUCAUCAAAUGGCUAAUAGGCGAAAGGUAGAUACCCAUGACGAUAGAUUCAAAAAUCGGGUCAAUCCACUCUCGUGACAGAGACCCCCAUAACUCUACCACUUCCUAAUCUCAACUCUCGUUGAUGAAACAUAGCAGAGCAGGGUUUAAGAAACAAUCUAUCAAAGCCAAUAGGCAGACAAGCCAAUCCCUAGGUCGAGUCUACAUAUCUCUGGAAUUCGUAGAUCAGACAUCCAUUUGAACGUCUUUUGGACGCUGGACGUCUAUGAUCGAAUCUCCACAUUAGCCAGCAAAAACUGAAUAGGGGCCAAGCGAAUCCAGAAGGGUAUAAACCUAAACACUAACCACCUAUCUAACCUACAGAUUACCCUAAUCUAAUCCAUCCUCAAGAACCCUAAUCACUACUCAAGCAACAUUCUCAAGAACACAAACCCAGAAAUUACUAAAAUCAUACCAAAAUGUAGAUCUAAACAAGGUAAACAACUCUACUUAAACAAUCAAAUGCAAAAACGAAAUGGAUUAAA
rnacentral:sRNA from 1 species